GUGUUCGCUCUGGCAGCACAUAUACUAAAAUUGAAAUGAUGCUGAGAAGAUUAGCAUGACCCCUGUUCAAGGAUGACAUGCGAAUCUGUGGAGUGUUCCAUAUUUUU